CCCAGGGACUCUGCCAGACCAGUUUAAACUAGCUGUUCUGUCCCUCCUCAAUCUCCCAUCAGCCCUUGCUAUUGUCUGACCCCACCCUUCCUUGUACUAUAGUAAUCUAUGUAACCUAUUGUAUGCAAAUUAGGCUGUUGGGGGCUUAAAUUAUGUGUGCUGCAUUCAUUAAAGAGUUGCUGUUUAACCUUCACCAUGUGUCGUCUGGUCUUUGGUCCAGGGUGGAAAAGGCCCUAAGUGAUCCCAGUCAAGCCUUGGCGUCUGGGUCUGAAGUGUUUCAGGGUCCUUGAUAGCUACAAGGAAGCAGACUUGGCGGAGGUACUCGGUUGGAGUACUGGAGCUCCGUUACAUUGGUGGCAGCGGUGGGAUGGCGACCUAGUGCGAGGUAAAGCAGCUCAGAG